CAAAUUAUUUCAAACGUGGAGAGGAGCCCUGGAAAAACACGACUACUCCAUACGGUGCUCACUAGCGCCCCCCUGUUUAGUAGUCUUGACUGUAUUUUAAAAGAAACUAUCUUGUGUUUUGUUCUUUCAUGGUAAUUUCUUAAACUGCAGAUCUUGUUACUGUUCUAAUAAAUAGUGUUUUCAAUAUUCUUUGGAUAUUAAUAUCUUGUUGAUGGUUACAGCCUGUUUAAUUGAUGUUGAGCGAUUCAUUUGAUCAGCUGUAAAUUCUGUAAAAAUUCCCUGUAAAUAUAAUGAAUUCCCUUUGAGUGAAAUUUACUUGUUUUUACCUUACAGUGAUUUUCCCAUCUUAACCGCCCCCGGUACACCCCUCCCCCCACAAAAAAUUCAUAAUCAAAUUACUAAGCAACCAAUGAAUGGAGUAACACAAAACAAGUAUCAAUAGAAUCUUAGAAUCUCAGUUUUAUAAUUUUUUUAAUAAACUCUUAAUGAGUUGUUAUGGAAAUUUUUAAUAUUGUUAAUGUAGCGGGGCUACACGUAACUGAGAUGUCGAAUAAUUUGUCUGGGGGGCGGGGUUGUGCACAUGUCUGUGUGUGUGUGUGUGUGUGUGAGAUGAUCAUGCACAGGUGCGGCUGAUAAUGUGGAAUGAUCAGCAGCCUUAAUGAUUAGUGGCUGGAGAGGAUAAAAGCUGAUGGAUUCUGAUAAUCUGGGUUGGUAGCCGGAGCCCGAACACGACUUCACGUACCGCAACCCACGAGAGCGGAAAUGCCGGUAUUACUCCGCAUCUGAUUCCUCAGAUAGCCAUGAGCUGACCACUAUCUGUUUGGACACAGUGAAGACGGCGAAAGAAUCAUCCCAACACACUCUAUUCCUCGUACUAAAGGGAAGUAGUUUUACGACUGUCUUACGAACGAGUGGGCUUUACCCCGCGAUAUUGUUGUUUAGAGUUGACUGAUUCACUUCCCCCUCCUCGCAGUGCCGGGUGGAGUUUCCACGGUUACCAUCCGUGGAGGAACGCUGUCGAUGGAAGGCGCGAGAUACCCCGCAUCGUCAUAAGGAGCAAAGAGACAGAGACGGCGGUGAUUCCCUUGUACUGUGAUUUUGAACUGUGGACUGGCCGGUCUGUAAGCAUCACAAAAGUUCACCACUCUCUGUGCGCAAUGGCUCAAUAUUCACCAAUUCUCACACCCCUUUGGUGAAAUGGCUUGAGUUUAUGUACAGGUACAGUAUUUAUUUAUUUGACAAGUAAAGUGCACAAAAAUAAUAAAUACUGUAAAUGUGUCA
ensembl:lncRNA